UUGUAUUUUAUUCUGGUAAGA
ensembl:piRNA 21ur-6969 ncRNA